CGUUACCUAAGCUCUCCAAAGUCUCCUGGGUAUGUCAAAUAGAAUUAGGAGGGUGGCUUCAUUAGCUGAGUGGGAAAUGCAGGCGUGUGCUUGUGAAAACACUGCGCUGGUUUACCAAUGCCACUAGCACACUGGCAUAGCGUUCAUGACGCAGCUUUUCUUGCCUGGAGAUGCUCAGUAAUGUGAACUCCAGCUGUGGCAGACCAGUUUAUAAACUUUACUGUGCUGUUUGGUUGUGAGGAGGUUUACCACACAGCGCAUUCAGUGAUUCAUAUCUCUCCUCACAACUUUUACAUCCUGUUCAGUGUUUCAGUCGAUGACGUUAAAAGUCGAUGAAAUCAAAGACUUUGUAAACAAGGACUGAUUAGCUGCAAUGAGUUUACAGCUCCUUUUAAUUGUGCAUUUUGAGGUGUAAUACAACCUCUAAUGAAGUUUUCAGUAGCUUCAUGUGUGUCUGUUUGGGCAAGUACAAGUCUCUCAGAAGAAAUCAGGAUGUGUUCCAGGGGAUAAUUAUGCUUUUAAGCAUAAUACUUUCUUGUAUCACACUGAGGCAGCCUGAGGGGCUCUUCAGUGACUGUGUGUGUGUGUGUUGAGUCAUCUUAUGGGCUUUGAUAUCUGAUCUGGCAUUUAAAGGUGAUUUUGGCAGACACUUCAUUUUUCACCUGGCCUCCAGACAUCUCUGUUUGAUCUUUCUGUAUCUCUUUUUUAUUUAUUUUUUUAUUUAUUUUUUUGCCUCUGUUUCCUUUUACUUUGUCCAACCAGCCCGUCACAACAACAACUCAUCAACCAAUAGAAUGAGUUUGGUGAUAGAUUUUCUGUUUGUUUGACCAAUGGCAGAUGAGAGUGUUUUGGAAAUUUUUUUUGUCAUUUAAAUGACUGCUCAGCUCGUUGAUUCUGACAGUUUUUCACUUACAAAAAAAUACCAUAGUAGAACCAUGGCAAAUAUCAAAGUUCCUUUGUAAUAUCAUCUGAUAUACCAUGAAACAGUACCACCAUGCUACUUUUUUGUAAGGGUUCCAGCAUUCCUCCACAUCAAUGCCCUUUUUUUAAUGUUCUGAUUUAUGCAAUUGUGUAUUGUUUUGUUUUUGUUGAUUUGUUUUGUUUUGCAUUGUUGCUAUAAAGAAUAAUCCUUCUUUGAAUGAAUGAAUGAAUUAAUGAAUGAAUGUUGUUGUGUUUGCUGUGUCUUGUCUUAUUUUGUUAUGGUUUAUUUUGUUGCCAUCAUAAACUUUCUUUGAAUGAAUGAAUAAUUUAAUGAAUACAUUUUUUUUAUUGUUGCUAUCAUUAAUUAACUUUCUUUGAAUGAAUGAAUGAAUGAAUGAAUGAAUGAAUGAAUGAUGAGAGGGGAGCUUAGAGCUUGGAUCGGGUCUGCUUGAGCUCCUCCAGUUCAUUGUAUACAGAAAGCCACAUCUGAUUACCUUCAUCACUUAUUAGGAUCAUACAGUAUAAACGUGAACUCAUUAGGCUGAAGUUGUUCGGUUAAUUGAUCAGGUGUUUAAUUUCUGUGUUAAAAUAUUGAGCUGAACUGCAUGUUAUUUAUUUGCUCUCUUCCUUUGUGCUGCUUUUUGUACAUUGUAAAUCUUAUUACAAAUGCCAAAUUGAUACUUAAUUUGGCUGCAACCUGAAUCACCAGAACAGUCGCUCAUGUCAGAUGAAAAAUUGAACAGAAGCAGAUGUGAUGUGUGUCGAUAUGAGAUCAGCCUCAGGAAACAGAGCCAAGUGCAGAGGAAAGUAGAGCCAGGAGUGUGCUUAGGUAAGCAGGCAGAGGAGUCAUUCUGUCAGAAUAAAGGGUACGGUCGGUGUCCAUUUGUGAUCACAUAGGGUACAGCUUAUGUGGUUGUACCCUCACUGGGUCAAAGUUACACCUUAAGGCACUAAUAUGUACCCUUUAGGGAUAGAUAAGGUACAAAUACAUUACUGUCCAUCAUACGGUCUAUGUAUGACCAUUUCACCCAAAAGAGGUACAAAAUACUGUGAUCAAAUGAUUUGCCUGGUGGGGGAUGGGGUGGUUCAAGGCUGCCAAAGCCAAACCCUUCAAGUGCAUGAAAUUCACUUCAUUGUCCCAUACGUGAUCUCAACAAUUCAAUAAACAUGCAUAAUAUAUAUAUAUAUAAAUAUAAAUAUUAUAUAAAUAUAUAAAUAUUUAUUUAUUUUAUUUUUUACAUAUAAAACAAAUUCUUUAAAUUAAAUUACAAACAGGUUUAGAAACAAUGCCAUUUUAUCCCAUAUAUAAUAAACAAGCUGUUUCUUUUAAUAAAAUCAUUAAACUUUGGAUCUUUUGAAUGUUUCAUUGAUUCAAAGGAAGAGCGCAAACUUAUGCACUAUUAAUACAAACUUUUUUAAACAAGAAAAACUGAAGAGCUGUAAGUGCAACAAGUAAUUUCACAGUUUAUUCAAAUUUGUCCAAUGGGAUUGACUCACCGCGCGUGCUUUUGUGUGGGAAGUUUGGGAUGUGUGUGGACCGACGCUCGCAACAUGAUGAUGGAUCUCUGACUGUCGACGGAGGAUCUUCUCCUCAGGUUAAAAGAUCCUGCAAGUCACUGAAGCAUCACAUAAAUUCAGAGGAACAUUUAAAUCAUACUUGGUACCAAUCUCUUGGAGCGUCUGAUUCUCGAGGAGGAGAGGAGUAAGGAGAAAUUGGGCUCUGUCAUGCAGUCUGAAGAAAUUAAAAAGAGCCUGUCACAGGUCUGUGUCAGGGGAGAUUGCUGUCAUUGAUGAGGAUGCACCUUUGAGGGACAUGCAAAUAUUUUGCAUGUACUGUAUGGCAAGAUGCUACCAGAUACCUUGAUUGUUAAAGACUGGAUGCAGCAAACGGUUUCAUGGCGGAGAGGAGAUUGAAGAUGGAAUGACUGGUGGAUAAAAACUCCAGUUGCUUCAAGGAGGGCUUCACAAUUACUGUGCAUGAGCUUGCAGCAAGAAAAAUCCUUCUGGCCAAAAUAUACAUUGAAGCAAGAGAGGAGAUGCUUGCAAAAGAUCUUCUAGGCAUUUACUUUGGCACUAUUGCGGAUUAUAUGAGUAGUAAAUAUUGUCAAACAAAUGUUUUUGUUUCGUCAGAAUGAUGUAAUACUGUUACUUUUGUCAUAGCAAAUUAAGUAAAGCUUAAGUAAACCAUGCUUGUUGCAUGGUUUUAAUACUGUUCUAACAUUAUAUUUUCCUCUUACAAUGUGAUGCCGAUACACCAUAUGAAAAUGGCUUUCACCAGGAUGGUUCAAGUCCUGAUCAAAUGGAUGGUGUGCAGGGAAUAAGAAUCAAACAGGGGGUAAUUGCAGCCUUCAGUGCAUACCUUUUUAACAUGACACCCUAUAAGAAAAAUAUGCUCACUUCCUGCAAUGUGCUAUUGCAAAGAUAUGAGUCAAGAAUCAUUCAAAUAUGUCCUGUGUUCCAGAAGAGACUAUUAACACUGAACAUUUUAAAUUGUCAUAUUAAACUCACCCUCAUGAUGUUUCAAACCUGUAUGACUUUCUUUUCUUACGUGGGGUCAGAAAAGGAGAUAUUUGUAAUGAAUAUCUCAGCCCGCCCUUUCAAUGCAAUGGCAGUGGAUAGAGGCUCAAUUUAAAGCUUAGAGGACCCAAAAGAUGUCAUAAAAGUAGUGCAUGUGACUUGUGCGUCUAAUUUCAAGUUGUCAGAAGGCAUACAAUAAUUUAUUUUUUGUGAGAAACAACCUGAAAUGAGAGAAGCUCCUUCGAAGUGGUUUGUGUUCACGUGUUCAUUUUGUUCUUUUUUUUUUUUUUUAAGCUUUAAAGUGAGGUACUGUUAAUAGCCAUUGUGUUGAAAAUAUAGCCUGUGAUGUUCAUUAAAACCUCUCCUUUUAUGUGGUCCUAAAAUGUAUUUUUGGGUGAGUAUUAAAGGGUACUUAAGUUCAAAUGAAACGUGUAGUAAUAUUUUUAAAGCGAAAUGGCUAAAAAAAAAAAAAAAAAAAGUAUCCUACUGUAUUUGAUGACAAUUUGUGAUUCUGAGAUUUUUAGUGUUAAUUCUGUGACAUUGUGAACAAAAAUGUGAAAAAUUUGAAAUUAUUGAAUGUUUCAUGUUAUUAAAUAAAUGUGACUGAACAUC